UACAGAGGGUGCGAGCGUUGUUCGGAAUUACUGGGCGUAAAGCGCGCGCAGGCGGCCUUUUAAGUCUCGUGGUGAAAUGCCGGGGCUCAACCCCGUGCCCGCCGGAGAUACUGGGAGGCUGGAGACAAGUAGAGGCAAGCGGAAUUCCGGGUGUAGCGGUGGAAUGCGUAGAGAUCCGGAAGAACACCGGAGGCGAAGGCGGCUUGCUGGGCAUUGUCUGACGCUGAGGCGCGAAAGCGUGGGGAGCGAACAGG
rnacentral:rRNA from 1 species